UACGGAGGGUGCAAGCGUUAAUCGGAAUCACUGGGCGUAAAGGGCACGUAGGCGGCUUGAUAAGUCAGGUGUGAAAUCCCUGGGCUCAACCUGGGAAUGGCAGUUGAUACUGUUGAGCUAGAGUCUGGUAGAGGGAGGUGGAAUUCCAGGUGUAGCGGUGAAAUGCGUCGAGAUCUGGAGGAACACCGGUGGCGAAGGCGGCCUCCUGGGCCAAGACUGACGCUGAGCUGCGAAAGCGUGGGGAGCAAACAGG
rnacentral:rRNA from 1 species